CCUUUGUUUGAUGUCGUUGUUGCGUCACUGAUGUUGUUGUUGACUGGACAUUUUCAGAUGAAAUUAUUCACAGAUGUUCACUUAAAACAUAUCUGCCAGUUUGGUUUAUAUAAGUUGAUAUUGGUAUGAGUAAAGAAAGUAUCCAUGUGAAAUUAAUAACUAAGA